rnacentral:rRNA from 1 species
UACAGAGGUCUCAAGCGUUGUUCGGAUUCAUUGGGCGUAAAGGGUGUGUAGGUGGCGCCGUAAGUCGGGUGUGAAAUUUCGGAGCUUAACUCCGAAACUGCAUUCGAUACUGCGGUGCUUGAGGACUGGAGAGGAGACUGGAAUUCAUGGUGUAGCAGUGAAAUGCGUAGAGAUCAUGAGGAAGACCAGUGGCGAAGGCGACUCUUUGGCCUGUAACUGACACUGAGGCGCGAAAGCGUGGGGAGCAAACAGG